ACAACGCAGGGCGUGACGUCAUCGCGCAGGUCGUGGGCUCAGCACGACGGCGGAGCGGUGCGCCUUGCAUCAUUGCACGUUCCACGAGCGCGCGUGAUCAUUGUUUGUCGCCGCUCCGCUGCUGUUAAUAUAAAACUAAAAUAACGAAGCAAUAACGACGACAAAACCAAAAAAACACGCACGCCAUAGCGCGAUAUAUGUAAAAAAUAAAUGCUAUGAUGUGCGCGUGGUUUCGUUAAGCAAUUAGCAUUGAGUUGGAGAGCGUUGCGGGCGACUGCUGCCGCGUUGAAGGGGAGCGAGGAUCGAGGAGCAGGAGGAGGAGCAGCAGGAGGAGCAGGAGCAGCAGGAGGAGCAGCAGCAGGAGCAGCAGCAGGAGCAGCAGGAGGAGCAGCAGCAGGAGCAGCAGGAGGAGCAGCAGGAGCAGCAGGAGCAGCCUCGUUCUUGAUUCCCCACGCGGAGCGCCGGGAGGAGACGAGAUCACAGCGGGCACGACGAGAGGCUUGACCAACUGCAGCAGCGGCAGCAUCAUCAUCAGCACCAGCAGCAGGGAUUUAGCUGCGAAGAGUGGCCACGGGGCGAUGGGCUGUAUUGGCUCACGGAGGAGCAUCGUGAAGGCGGAGGCGCUGCGCGAGUGGCCCCACAAGAGCAAUGGGCCAGGGAGCGGAGGAGGGAGCAGCGUGAGCGUCCCUGGAAGCAGCGCGGGGGUGCAGGGAGGCCUGGCGAGAGGGGACCUGGGGAGCUGCAGUUCGGAGACGAGCGGGCCGAGCGCCCCCGCCCUCUCGGGCAACACCAGCGAGGCUUCCGUUGAGGACACCACGCAGAUCCUGCCCAGGGUUCGGAGGUCACGAACUCUCACCGGCAUUACAGCGUUGGCCAGGUCGUCCAUCACAGGCCUGUCGGAGAGCGUGCGUGCCCGUGUCACCAAGCCCAUGGCGCGGGGCCGCGUGGCUCACCUCAUCGAGUGGAACGACUGGGACCACGGCCACGUCCAGUCCUACCACGAGUCGACGCUUUACACAGACGAUCCAUACUGCGACACCACCGACAUGGUGGAUGGGGAGAGAGAGGCGCGCUUUGCUGAGGGUGUGGCACAGCAGUUUGCCCUGAGUGAGGCUCGGCUCAGGGCCUGGUCGUCCGGGGAGGGAGAUGGGGAGGACGGGGACAUGGGGGAUGGGUCAGGGGAGUGGGUGCACAUCCCCAGUGUGCACACGCCCUACCACACCAGCAAGGACUGCGACCUGGAGCGAUUCCCGUCCUCCGUGUCGCUGUCCGAAGUGCUGCAGGCGCGCCUGCGCCGGCUGGCGGCGGCGCGCACUCCACCGGUGCUCUCGCCCGAGAGCGUGCACGGCGUCCUCUUCUCCCCCGACGGCGUCGCGCUCGAGACGCUCGUGUGCCGCGGCUUCGCCGACGGCUUCGCCUCCGUCGAGCGGCAGCGCUUGCCGGACCUCGCCCAGGGCCUCCUCGCCGCCCCCGAGUGUCUCCCCCUGCAGACGUUUGUCAGGAACGAGGACGGGCGCGCCGGCUUUCCCGUGGGGACGCUCCUGCCUUCGGGAGAGGAGGAGGAGGAGCGGGAGGACGAGGAGGGUGAAUUGGAGGGCGAGGAAGAAGAAGAGGAGGAGGAAGAGGAGGAGGACGGGCGGCAGCAUCAGCUCGGGGCGCCGUGGGGUUACCGAAAUUCGUCGGGUGCGGUGCACUUGCCAGAUUUGAAGGCGGAGGUGGCGCCGACAUAGGGCGGUCGGGGUCACGCGGCGAUCACCUCCGUGCGCGCCCGCGCGCAGACGCAUGUACACACGCGCACGCACGCACGUUCAGGCGUAGACUAGCGCGUGAUGCAUGUGUGCAGGCUGCAUGUAUACUGCACGGGUGCGUGCGCGUGUGGGCGCGUUUGUUAAACGCUAAACACUUGCACCGACGCGUGUGCACACGCACACGUGCAAAGACACUCAUGCGCACGUGCACUACCUUCCUGCAACCCUCCCCCCACACACACACACACACGCGCGCACGUGCUGAGCAAGUGACCGGGAGGGUCGCGGUGCUCCGUGGCUCACCGAGCUUGCGUUGUUAUUUUGUUUUGUUUGGUGGAUUUCGGGGGGCAUCUCUAAAUUCGAAUGAUGCGGAGAAAGUCUCUGUUUGCGGGCGCGUGAGCGAGACACAUCUGCUGCGAGGUGAGCGGCCGGGUGAAGUGACUCCAGAAGAGGUUCUGUUUGUGUCAUCAUCUCAGCCCGUGAUAGCGACGUAAAGAGCCUUUGUCUUGUGACUUUCCUGCCAGAUGUGUAAGCUAGUGAUGCCCCAGUUUUACGUCGGGGGAUGCGUUCCUGAAAGGUGCGACUACGAAUAUCGAAAGGACGUAAAAUCAAAGCGAUUUAUAGGGUAGGUGGUGGUGAAGGCGAAGGCUGAGAGGUGACGGAUAACGAGAAAGGACGGACGCUGCUGUCAGCGACGUAAAUGUGGGAGUUGAGGCGACGCAAAUCGGGAAACCGUGUUAAUAAUGUGACGACGUAUUUGCAAAACGACGUAAAAGGAGGAGACGUGAAUCGGGGUACUACUGUACGAAUAAUAAUUUACAGUCUCAUGUUAAUUCACUUCUGGAUGAAGGCCUCCCCAUGCUCUUCAGGUCAUCGGAGUAGUUUUGACUAUACUUCACCACGCUGGUCAGUAUGGGUUGGUGACGGUGGGAGGCCCAGGACUGGUUGAGAUACUACUCGCCACCAAUGUUAGCCAUGGCGUGGAAUCAAACUGAUGUCACAGGUUCAUAGCGCAGUGCGAUAAUUGCUGCUCCACCAAUUCCGCCAUUCGGUAAUACUAAUGUCAAAUAAACACACCGCUGUGGUAUCAGAGGUCAGAGCAAUUAGCCAGCACCACUGAGACCCUGGGUUUGAAUCGGGGCAGCCACCCGUGGCUAACCUGGUGGUCUUGGACCUGUCACCCAUGGACUGCAUAUGUUGGGUUUGCACUUAAUUUUGGCAAAAUUCCAGCUUUUGAGAAUUGAAACAUUGGUGCUGACGGUCAUGCGCGUGUGUGUGUGGUAAAGUGCGCCCCCUGUUGUGUAAACAUGAAACAUCCACGGAUUUCUCAGAAAUAUUUCUGGGGAAAACUCUUGCGCGGCUGCCGUUCUUCGGGGCACAUGGGGGUCACACCCCCCCCUACUCCCCCACCGUGAUAUUUUUAAUUGGAUGCCUUAUGGCACGAUGCCGAUAGUGUACAUGUAACGCUCUGCCACUGAUCCGUAAUUACUCAGGACGUGUGUUCAACUUGCAGGUUUUAUAACCCACACGAAGCAAAAUCCACGUUCUCACGUGCAGUCCCCCCAGCCCAGUCACCAAUUUACCGACGCGAAACAAGCAUCAGUUUUAGUUUUGUUUUACACUAGCAUUGGACUAAUGCAGUCGCGAGGGUUGAUGGUCACGUGGUAAAACCUCCCUUGAAAAGUUUGGUUCACUUUGUUUGACCAGGUGAGAACGCAAGAAACCUGGAUACAGUUUCACCUGCAACGGUGACCUGGGCCAUUCCAUCUACCAGUACGGGGGGUGGCGAUGAUUGCUUGCUGGCGAUGAUUGCUGCUGCUGCGAUAUGAUCCCAGCCGAGUAAUUUUGCGGGCUGUGUUCUAAUUGGACACAAGGCGCCGUCUGGAUAGAGAGUUUCCCUGCAGAGCCACCAGCAGUAAUCGCAUGUGUUUUAGUUUAGUUUAUAAAUAGUUUGGUUUGUUGUCACUCUCGCCCGUCCUCUGACAUUGUUCUCCGGUGAAGAGGAUGUUCUGCUGCCUACAGGAGAAUUCAGAAUUGGACUGAGAGGAGAGCAGAACAGCAAGCCGAAUACAACUACAGUAAUACCCCGGUUUACGUCGGGGAUGCGUUCCUGAAAGGAGGGAGCGGCAAAAGGAAGUGAUUCCGCCGGAUUACCGUGUCACGGAUCGCCCUCUCCGCUCGGACGCGACUGCUGUCUCGGCUCGCGAAAACACGCGCACGCACGGCACCCGUUGUUUGUCAGUCGGCCGAGGGCCGCCACGCGUCUCGGGCGAAUCCAGAGGAAGGAUCGCCGGUUUGGAAUGAAGACUCCAUGCCCAUCCCUUCCCCCCCCCCCGUUGUAAAAACUUUAAAGACGUUUUUCCUCUGCCUAUAACGGACUGAUUCCUGCUAUCUGACUUUGCGGUCUCUUCUUUGCCACGUGGUUUUUGCACUUUGGGGGACGAGGGUGAGAGGGGGUCAUGCACACGCGUGAGACUCUCAAACGGCCCGUUGGGCUGCAAGGUGGCCACGGGAUGAAAGUAUUAUUAGCAAGUUGGUUCUUGACUCCAUCCGUGUGGAAGCUUUUUGUGUUAUCCCCCUAUUUAUGUGAAUGUUCUCCGGGUUUCUCAUGGAUUCCGUUCCUCACGAAGCAAUACGCCCAUGAAAAUUGGCUUAACAUGCCAACUGCAGCGACCCUCGUGAAAGAGAACUGACUCCCUGUGCGGUUUUCAUGGCUCACGGGCAAUAUUGUUCUUCUCUCCCCAAACUAGCCUUCAAAUAAUAAAAAAAGUAAAUUACGUUCCUUUCCCGAUCAAAGCUCUACUCUUAGAACCGCGUGCCCUCUCAGCCCAUCAUGCAUUGUCUUGACUUACACUUGUAUAUAUGCGUUAUAAACUGCAUAGACGUUUUUUUUAUUAACAUGACUUCUGUUGUACAGAUGAGUAAACUAACUAUUUUAACUAACUAUUUUUAUUUUACUAGGUAAGGCCCACUGGACUAUACAGCUCUUUUUCAGAAGCAACCUGGCCACAAACGAUAGCGCAAUGAGGUGGCUUAUCACGUGGCUAUUUAUAGCUGCCAAAUACUCAAACGCAUAUUUAUAAAUGUGGAAGAAAAGACCGGAGGAAAAUACACUCGAGCACGGGUCAGUACAUGCAAACUCCAGAUACACAGGCGUCAGGGAUCGGGAUCGAACCCACGGCCUCCUGUAUACCAGGCGAGGUAGUUUACAUCUCGCCACCACUGACAAUCUCGCUCUCAUCACGCGCGAUAGCUGCGUAGGGAGGCGCGAUCGCCUAUUCAGUCUGGCGGGCGACGGCCUCUGUGAUUCACGCGUCCGUGUUCAGUUAAACGGCAUCUGUUUUCCAGCAGGCACCAUAAAAACUUCCCGCUGUACGGGGCAGUACGGUAAAGCAAGCAGAAUCAACAUGUGUAACGGAGUUUGGUUGUUUUCUCCUCGUAUGCGUGGGGUUUUAUUUUUCUGAUUAUUCCAGAUUCCCUCCGCUUGUAAAAAAAAAAAAGCCCACGAUAUGUUACUUUUACAACAUUUUGGCCUUGCAUCCAAAAAGAGGUCCCGUAUUGAGAGACAGAGAGAGUUGUGAGCCUCAGUGAGGCUGUUUUCUGGGUUCCGCUUUAGUUUGGGGUCCGUUUUUCACGUGAGACCGAGGCCAAAUGUGAGGCCGGCAAACUGUAGAAAGGGUGUGUCAGAGAAGUCCGUUUUAGUUCUUCGGCCGAGCCUUUAUGACACAGAGACCAGGCUGGGCGACUUUGCCCGUGAUGAAUCCUCAGGGAGUUGAGUCAUCGCCAAGGGCUCUCUCUGCCCGCUGGCCACGUUGCUGAGUGGGCCACGAUCGUUUACAGAGGCCAUCUGUGGCCAGACAUUAUUAACCCCUGAAGGUGUGGACAAGGCACCACACGCGACAGUGCAGAGAAAUGGGUCGUCAUGGGCCCGGGGCAGAUGUCUGGCGUGUCGGCACCACCCGAGGUACCAAAACUGAAACGUUAGCUCACUUUUCAGUCCUUUGCCAAUCAACUGCUCGUAUGUCAUGUAUGUUGAACUUCCUUCGCAGCAUACGUGCAUGGUAUGGUGGUGGUGGUGAUGAUAGAGAUAUCGCGAGGGCUCCUGUAUAGAGGCGGCUGUAGCAAGCCGGGCCUCUCCGUGAGCUCCAACCCAAUAAUUAAGAGGGAAGCUGGCGAAGACGCACCACCCCGGUAGCUCAGCUCGGGACGAUGCUGUUCGGGUAACUCCUCGAAGGUCUUCCCACACCGUAUUAGUCAUCGGGGUCAUUUGAACAUACUUCAUCACGCCGGUUAGAUAUCACUCUGCACUGAUGUUCGCCGUGGCCCGGAGCCGAUUCCCAGUCAUCGAGCGCAUGGCUCAAAACACUGUGCCACAGCUCCACCCAUGCACAACUGUAAUGGUAGCAAUUUAUUUCGUCAAAUAAUCGGGUUAGAUCAUAAUUAAUUUCAACUGACCCAUGAUUCGAGUGGCUCAGGGCUCAGAACUCGAAGUGGACACUCCUGGGAUCCUUGAUUGUAAACCAUGAUUCCUCCACCCACGUUUAAACCGGGGUCUUAGGUGGAGUAAAUCGAUGGUCUCAGUCCAGUCACCAAUGGCUGCACACAAAAAAACACCCAUGAUAUUAUUAUUUUUACUUAAUUUGGAUGAAAUCCAGGUCUGAGAAUUAAAAAAAACAUUGGCUUGAAUGUUGUUUGAUAAUUAUAAAAGGGCAUCUGGGAUCCCUGCACUGUGUGUGCAUUAACGACCGCCUGAAAGGAUCUCGGAUGUAGUGCUGUGAAACCUGCUUCCACAUGCCAUCCUCUACCACAUGGGGUGAUGCAUUGCUUUGCGAGAGUUUCCCAUGGCUACGUUUGUCUCACGACAUGAUGCCAAUUGCACAAGUGGAAUAUCAUUUGUUGGUGAGGGUGCGGGGGUGGAUGGGAAAGGCCAAAAACAAAGUCAAGAAUAUUCUCUACCACUAAGAGUUCGGCCGGCACGGACUUUUGGUCCAGCCCACGGACUGAAGCAGGUGGCUGCAGUAGCGGCAGCGGCGGCGGUGGUGGCGGCGGCGGCUUCGCAACGGACUCUCGCGACGCUUCCCGUACGGUGACCGUGAAGAAAGUCGCCGCAUAAGAAGCGGGGAACGCGCGCCGCGUUUAACCCCGCCGCCUCUUGCCCUUUCUCACGAUUUUUUUUUAUUCUCUUAAGUGACGCGCUCUAUCCUUUGAAUUGUCUUCGGUGCACGUUGCCCGCUAAUGUUCAGUGGCUUGAUAUGCAUCGGGUGAAAGGUGUUUGCGUUUUGCGCGUAUUUCAUCGUUUAUUUCCCUAGGAAGCGUGCUGUACUCUUGCGACGGUUUCCGCGCUUCGGUGAAGAGACGCCGGCGUCAUGGACCGUGGAACACUGCAUGGGCCACGCUUUCAGCGAAAAGGCAUCGCGCGCUUUGAUUAUUUCCUGCGACCCAAGAACUGUUCUGAAGAGGGUGGCCUCCCUCGGCUUAGUGUUGGGAACGUUCAGCUUCAAGAUUAAAAAUCUGGAGGAAGGGCCCCCUCACAGAAGGGCACAGCCUUUUUUCACCGAAUCAUCAUCAUCAUCCUCCUCCUCGUGAUUUUCCUCUCCGAACCCCCUACCCGUAACUCCGUGCCCUCUACACGUUUCCGCACGGAGCGGGGAGACGGCAUGGACGGACGCCAGAGGGUUUGACCCAUUCGCAAAAAUCCGUCACUAAACACCAGCGGCUGCUGCUGAUGUCGUCGUCGUCGUCGUGAAAUCGCACGAUCGUCGUCGGGGUUUUAUUUUUAACGCAUCGUCGGUAAGCCAACCCCUACUUCACGUCGAUACGACUCUUGCCUGUUCUAAGUGAAGGGCUUACCUACAACGACGAUGGUGUUGGCGGUCGGUCGGCGAGCUUACUCAAAGGCUGUUUUAUGCCCCGGCCAUAUUAAACGGAGUUCGUGGCGGUGUGGGUUUGGGUUUGUGGGACCUGGGGGGGGGGGGGUCCAAGGUGCGUGUGCACACCCUGGUUCGUCCAGGUCUGCAGCCACUUCUCGGUAUGUACAGAAAGUUACGUUUUAUUUGGGCAAAUCUGUUAUUAAACGUUAUUUGUUGCCAAACGCCUUGCCGCUUGUUGUUUUUGUUUGUUGGCUGCGUUGGGGAAUACGAGAAGCUGCUGUGUGGGGGUGGCGGUGACGGAACGCGCUGCUGCAGCUACCCGAAGGUCAGAUUGGUGGCCCUCGUAGAGGUGACGGAUCUCCAAAGUAAUGAUGCAGAUAUCCCAUCGGUGCACGGACGUUCGGUUGACGAAAUUUCGCGUUCACGAAAAUUGACAAAAUUACGGACACUUUUUCCAUGAAUGGAAUUGAAUGUCGGCAUUGAACGACGUUUCCAAAUGGCACGCGCUACGAGAUGAAACGAGAAGCCACUCGGGCAAUGUAGCGUCAUCCAUCCCUGCAGUGCAGCAGUAACCCCCCCCCCCCACAUCGCCCUUGCCAAGUCAUUCCAACAUGCAGCCGAUCGUUUUCCUUAGAAGGUGAAUCAUUUUCGUUUUAAAUGAUCAUUCAAUCGCUUUAAUAUUUAUGUCCUUUGAUAUUUUGUUCGUAAAAAAGUUGUAUAGGUGUAUCUUUUUAGGUUAGGCGUAGAGUUGUAAUAACUGUCCGAAACACAUCCCCCUGAUUUUCUUUUUUGUACUAAAUCAUUGGAGGAAAAAAUAAUUCAGGUUUACGGAAUUUUGUUGCAUGCGCAUUGUUUGAAGAACGCAUCCCAUUCGUAAAUCGAGGGAUGCCUGUGAUUAUAAUUUCCCAACUCGUAACGCGCUUCUCUCUUCACACAGCAUUCGCUCACUCUUUAUCCGCGCUUGUGAUCGGGAG